rnacentral:rRNA from 1 species
AACGAGCGCUGGCGGCAGGCUUAACACAUGCAAGUCGAGCGCCCCGCAAGGGGAGCGGCAGACGGGUGAGUAACGCGUGGGAAUCUACCCAUCACUACGGAACAACUCCGGGAAACUGGAGCUAAUACCGUAUACGUCCUUCGGGCGAGAGAUUUAUCGGUGAUGGAUGAGCCCGCGUUGGAUUAGCUAGUUGGUGGGGUAAUGGCCCACCAAGGCGACGAUCCAUAGCUGGUCUGAGAGGAUGAUCAGCCACACUGGGACUGAGACACGGCCCAGACUCCUACGGGAGGCAGCAGUGGGGAAUAUUGGACAAUGGGCGCAAGCCUGAUCCAGCCAUGCCGCGUGAGUGAUGAAGGCCCUAGGGUUGUAAAGCUCUUUCACCGGUGAAGAUAAUGACGGUAACCGGAGAAGAAGCCCCGGCUAACUUCGUGCCAGCCGCCGCAGUAA